UUGAUAGAGGUUGCGUACUUUAAGAGUAGCUUUUCGGAUGUGGCAGGCACAGAGGAAGGAGAGCAAAAGGGGAGCACGCCGAAAGGGUAUAGUACCUGUAGCUAUAUUGCUUGGGCAUAAAGUGAAGAACUUUAUGACUGUCAUCUUUUUGGGAUGGGGCGCUAUCGGU
rnacentral:ncRNA from 1 species